GCUCCUUUGGCUAUAUUCCCCCAGGUAUGUUGUUUUGAUUCUAUAUGGUUGGAGCUAGAUCAUUCCCAAUCCCAAAGUAGUAGCUUCAUGAGUUUUAUUUAUUUAUUCUGUAUGUUUGAACCUUUAAUUAUAUUGUGACCUAGUAGUUUCAUCAAUGUCUAUUCAUUUUGCCCUGGUUUUUGCCUGAAUGUCAUCUUGUCUACCAAAAAUACAGCUUCAAUUUAUCUAACCUGCAUGUAAGAAUUCAAAGUGAACAUCACGAUGAACAUAACUUGGCAGGUUAUAAUAGAUAAAUUAUAGCUAAAGGCUGCAACAUUUUGAAGUGUUUCCUAUCAGCCUAUGAAGUUUUUGUUGCCAAAAUCUUAAGCUACUACUCUCCUAUUUGGUUAGCCGGAUCAAUUCACAUACACUGUAUAUGGGUCUAAAAGCUAAAAGUUAAAAUGAAAAUGUUUUUUUCUAAUGCUUAUUAUGUUUUUGUUCACCAUCCAGAAUAUGCAUAUACAAUGCAA
rnacentral:misc_RNA from 1 species